rnacentral:rRNA from 1 species
AGUGAACGCUGGCGGUAGGCCUAACACAUGCAAGUCGAACGGCAGCACAGUAAGAGCUUGCUCUUACGGGUGGCGAGUGGCGGACGGGUGAGGAAUACAUUGGAAUCUACUUUUUCGUGGGGGAUAACGUAGGGAAACUUACGCUAAUACCGCAUACGACCUACGGGUGAAAGCAGGGGAUCUUCGGACCUUGCGCGAUUGAAUGAGCCGAUGUCGGAUUAGCUAGUUGGCGGGGUAAAGGCCCACCAAGGCGACGAUCCGUAGCUGGUCUGAGAGGAUGAUCAGCCACACUGGAACUGAGACACGGUCCAGACUCCUACGGGAGGCAGCAGUGGGGAAUAUUGGACAAUGGGCGCAAGCCUGAUCCAGCCAUACCGCGUGGGUGAAGAAGGCCUUCGGGUUGUAAAGCCCUUUUGUUGGGAAAGAAAAGCAGCAGGUUAAUACCCCGCUGUUCUGGCGGUACCCAAAGAAUAAGCACCGGCUAACUUCGUG